rnacentral:rRNA from 1 species
GACGAACGCUGGCGGCGUGCUUAACACAUGCAAGUCGAACGGAAAGGCCCUGCUUGCCGGGUACUCGAGUGGCGAACGGGUGAGUAACACGUGGGUGAUCUGCCCUGCACUUCGGGAUAAGCCUGGGAAACUGGGUCUAAUACCGGAUAGGAGCCAUUUUUAGUGUGAUGGUUGGAAAGUUUUUUCGGUGUAGGAUGAGCUCGCGGCCUAUCAGCUUGUUGGUGGGGUAAUGGCCUACCAAGGCGGCGACGGGUAGCCGGCCUGAGAGGGUGGACGGCCACAUUGGGACUGAGAUACGGCCCAGACUCCUACGGGGGGCAGCAGUGGGGAAUAUUGCACAAUGGGCGCAAGCCUGAUGCAGCGACGCCGCGUGGGGGAUGACGGCCUUCGGGUUGGAAACUCCUUUCGCUAGGGACGAAGCUUUUUGUGACGGUACCUAGAUAAGAAGCACCGGCUAACUACGUG